AUUGAACGCUGGCGGUAUGCUUAACACAUGCAAGUCGAACGAUGAGAAAGAGCUUGCUCUUUCGAUUAGUGGCGGACGGGUGCGUAACGCGUAGGAAUCUACCUAUUAGUGGGGGACAACUUAGGGAAACUUAAGCUAAUACCGCAUACGCCCUACGGGGGAAAGAAGGGGAUCGCAAGACCUUUUGCUAAUAGAUGAGCCUGCGUAGGAUUAGCUAGUUGGUGGGGUAAAAGCUCACCAAGGCGACGAUCCUUAACUGGUUUGAGGGAAUGGUCAGUCCCACUGGAACGGAGACGAGGUCCAGACUCCUACGGGAGGCAGCAGUGGGGAAGAUUGGACACUGGGCGAAAGCCUGAUCCAGCAAUACCGCGUGUGUGAAGAAGGCCUUAGGGUUGUAAUGCACUUUCAAUUGGAAGGAAAACCUCGAAGCUAAUACCUUCGAGUUUGACAUUACCUUUAGAAGAAGCACCGGCUAACUCCGUGCCAGCCGCCGCCGUAA
rnacentral:rRNA from 1 species